UUGGAGAAGGAAAAAAAACAGUCAACUGCUUUUCUAGCUUCUUCUUCUUUGUUAAACCCCCUCCCUCCCUCUCGGCUUCAAAGAUUUUUCCCGCUCAGUGAAGUAAUAAUUUUCUACCAAAGAAGAGAAACAGAAUGAACAGUACAUCAUCAGCAAAUUCAUCAGUAUCAACAGCAGCAAUUAUUGGAGGUGGAGGAGGAAGUGUUAACAAUGUUGUUUUGGAUGAUUUUCAUUUCCCUUCUGAUUUAAUCUCCAUUCAAGACCGCAAAGAUGAGGCCAUGCUUGCGUUAAAAACUGAUCUGAUGGCUGCACUCAACAAGGAGGUUAAAUCAUUGGAUGACGAUAACUGGAAGUUUGAAGGACCUCGUUCUCAUAUCAACCUCAUAUCAAGGCCAGGUGAAAAAGUAAGCAAGAAGUUGGAAAUAGCAACGCAUAAAAACCUGGCCUUGCCGAAAUGACAUGUAAUUCUGCGGGCAGGCUGCAUCUUGCAUUGAUUGACUUUUGGUACAUAUCUUUUACCUUGAUGAUAAAUAUUUCUUGUUUUAUUCUGGAGCUGGCGAUUUUAUGUGUUGUUUGCCCCGUGUUCUGAAAUGCUUCCAAGAAACUCUGUUGUCCAUACUACAAAUAAAUGGAAGGACUCGAGGGAAUAUAACUAAUUAUAAGAUGAUUAAUUCCAUGACGAAAAGAACCAACGCCACGACGGUCUUGCUGGCCUGCCAGUGAUUUUCCCCCCCCUUUCUCCACAGAGACGAGGCCAUGCACCGGAUGAAGCUUAGACCGCACCAACAGCAGUUUCGUUCCUUUUGAUUGAAAAUUUUAGGUCUAUCGCGCUGAAGUGGUUUUUCGUUCUAUGUACAAAACUGAACUUGGUUGAAUCAAUCCAGCAACCAAACUCGAUGCAGCUUCUAAAACACAAACCUUGGACUUGAGGUGGAAAAGGGUUUUGGAUGAAUUCGAGGCUGUUUGGUAGUAUGUUUGAAAUUGUUUUUAGGUGAUUUUUUAAAAUGUGUUUAAUAUGAAAAAAAUAUUAAAAUUAACGGUUGUUUUUAGUGUUUUUUAAUAGUUUUGAUGUAGUGAUAGUAUAAAUAAAAAAAACUGAUUUUUUUUUAUUUUGAUAUAUUUUCAAGAGAAAAACUAUUUUGAAAAGUAUUUCAUACCACAAUUCCGAACACGCACAAAAUCAAAAACCUUUAGACUUGGUAAUUUAUAGUGUUUUGUUUUAUUUUUUUUCACGUUUGUUUUUAUUGAUUUUAUUUUUUAAUAAUGAGAUGGUUAAUAAUUUGACUUUGUAUUUUUUUUUCUUUUUAUAAGGUUAGAGUGAUUUGCAGGAUUGCUAGAGUAAUUCAGGUUGCCUUGGUUUACGGAUUUGAUGAAGUGUUUUUUUUUUAAUUGAACUUAACUUUUUUUAUCAUCUAUUUUUUUUUCUCAUAUAGUUAAAAAAAUAGUUUUUGAGAAAAACCAUGUUAUUAAAUUUUAUAAAGUCCAUGGAAAUGUUCGCAAGUUUAGCUGGUUGACAUGGUUUGUAGAUCUAGCAAGUUUUUUUUUCAAUUAUUUUUUUCAAUUUCAUUAUUAGAUAUUUGGUUAAUUGAAAUUUUGGUCUUGUAAUUGAUUUUGCUUUGCUUUUUAUGAGGUUAUCAUGGUCUUAAAAAAAACAUAUUGAUUUUGGGUUGGUGUUUUACUUUGCAAUCGUUUAUUUCUAUUAUCAUAUAGUUAAAUAAAAAAUUAUAAUCACAUUAGAGCUCAUAACUCGGUUCACAGGUUUGACGAGUUUAUCUACUGACCAGGUAUGUUUUUUUUUUUUGUUUUUGGUCCUUUAAUUGUUUUUAUUUUGUUUUUUGUCCUUCAAUAUUAGAUAGGUUGAGAAAUAAAGUGUAUGAAUUAUUUUUAUUUGUUUUUUAUAGGGUUAUUAUUGUCUC